CAUGAACAAAACUCGCUGCUCCCGUUUCCUGCUCAUCGAUGCGUUGAUCCCACUCACCUGGACACAGCAAGGUCUGGGAGGGGAUCCUUCAAGAGAAUUCCCCAACGCAUCUGGACCAUGCUCAGGCGUUUUAGGGACAUCGAACAGGCAUGAGGAGGCCACGCACACUACUGAGCCUCAUUUUGACUUGUCCCGAGGAAUUUCCACUGAAAUUGGAUCAGCCUCUUUUCUGAGUGUCCACUUUUAUUUCAUGUAGGAUGCCAAAACCAGACCCUGUGGGAUAAUAAUCCAAUUUUACAUUACUUUGUCCUCAACACAUUCCACGGUGGGAUUAAAGUGCAACAUUUCUUUAAUUGAUAUCUAAAUUGCAUUAUUUUAGUGUUCCCUUUAUUUUUUUGAGCAGUGCAUACAAUCUUGUGGUGUUGAGGUGGAGCGUUAAUAACAUAGUGUUGUAAAAAGUUGCUAUUUUGAAUGGGGUAGAAGUACCCGAGUCUUGAGGGAGUUUGGGGAAAA